rnacentral:rRNA from 1 species
ACCUACGGGGCGCAGCAGUAGGGAAUCUUCCACAAUGGGCGAAAGCCUGAUGGAGCAACGCCGCGUGGAUGAAGAAGGUCUUCGGAUCGUAAAACCCUGUUGUUAGAGAAGAAAGUGCGUGAGAGUAACUGUUCACGUUUCGACGGUAUCUAACCAGAAAGCCACGGCUAACUACGUGCCAGCAGCCGCGGUAAUACGUAGGUGGCAAGCGUUAUCCGGAUUUAUUGGGCGUAAAGGGAACGCAGGCGGUCUUUUAAGUCUGAUGUGAAAGCCUUCGGCUUAACCGGAGGAGUGCAUUGGAAACU